rnacentral:lncRNA from 1 species
AAACGCACCUCACCUCUCUCCUAUCUCAGUCACUAUCUCUUCCAUGCCGGACACUCCCUCGGCGGUGGAGGUUCCCAGAAAUUAAAAUCUCAACCGUCAAACUCUCCCACUAAAUGUUCAGAUUUUGAAUCCACCAUCAAUUUAACCUAACUCGUCUAGAAUCAACCAAACCGAAUCGUUUUUUCCAAGAACCCAAAACCUAGAUUCAUAAAUUAAAUAACGAUUUGAAUGAAUUAGAGCCUCAUAGGAGAAGGCUUUGAUUCCUGAGGUGAAUCUCUACAUACUGGUAAGCGAAAUAACAUAAAAUUGGGAAGAAUCGAGGAACUACCUCGCUGGAGAAGAUGACGAAGAUGGCAACGACACCGGUCUCAAUUUAUCAUCAUAUCUCUUUGCACAAAUAUGGUAACUACAUUGUGUUCCUUACACCAUCUACUUGAAUAUAAGAUGAAACAAAUUAUUACUAUGUAACUGUAUAUUUAUGAAACUUUUAGUAAUACAUUCUUUGACUUUGUAAUUAGUUUAGCGUGUAAUAUUUUUAAAUCAUUUGUAAUAUGGGGUUGUGGAACGACACUAUUUUAUGAACAAUUAUAGAAAAAACUCUUAUUUUG